rnacentral:rRNA from 1 species
GACGAACGCUGGCGGCGUGCCUAACACAUGCAAGUCGAACGGAAAGGCCCUGCUUUUGUGGGGUGCUCGAGUGGCGAACGGGUGAGUAACACGUGAGUAACCUGCUCUUGACUUUGGGAUAACUUCAGGAAACUGGGGCUAAUACCGGAUAGGAGCUCCUGCUGCAUGGAGGGGGUUGGAAAGUUUCGGCGGUCGGGGAUGGACUCGCGGCUUAUCAGCUAGUUGGUGGGGUAGUGGCUUACCAAGGCUUUGACGGGUAGCCGGCCUGAGAGGGUGACCGGCCACAUUGGGACUGAGAUACGGCCCAGACUCCUACGGGAGGCAGCAGUGGGGAAUAUUGCACAAUGGGCGGAAGCCUGAUGCAGCAACGCCGCGUGCGGGAUGACGGCCUUCGGGUUGUAAACCGCUUUCGCCUGUGACGAAGCGUGAGUGACGGUAAUGGGUAAAGAAGCACCGGCUAACUACGUG